UUUUUUUUUUUUUUUUUUUUUUUUUUCCCAGACUAGGAUAGAGUUGAAAAAGUUCAGUUUAGCUGUUCUGCUGAGAUCUGCUCCUGCUCCAUGCUGGCUGGCAGCCGUUGCUCCCUGCAGCCCCCAGCCCUGUGCAUCGGGAGCUGCCUUCUGCCGCUUGAGUAGGUCACCUGUGGGCAUGUGCAGCUCUGUGCGGCUGAACUUAAAAAGAGCUGACAUGCACUUGCUUAGAUGCAGGUUUGUCUACACAGAAAAGGUAAUUAGGUACAUGGGAAAUAAAAAGGUUUAUGAUUUCAAAAAAGACAAUCCAAGUGAUAUAGUGUGAGAUCCUAGCUCCCUUAUGAUACCUGGAAUUCUGCCCACCUUUCAUGGGCAUUGACUUCCAUUCUAAUUCUCUGCCUAAACAUGGAGGCUAAAGUUACGGAUUGAGGUUUCAACUACACACAGAAGAGCUCCUAAAAGAGGGGAAUUCUGUUUGUUCUCCUCCAGCACUUGCAUUUUUAUGGAAGCAAAUUCUUUACUGUGGUUUUUCAGCAGAGUGGUAAGAGGUAACAAAGACUAGAUUUUUUUUUUUCUAAGAAAUAUUUUGCAUGCAUUUCCCAGAAGAAUUCAAAGAGCCCUUGGGGCCAGGGGAGUUUGGAGCUCGCUUUGGUGCCCAUGGGGUGUCCGGGCUGUCUGUGCUGUGGGCAGAGGUUGGCAGGGCUGGGCUCUCUCCUGCCCAGCUGUGUCCCUGGGGCACAGCAGUAUCUGAUGGCCCAAGCUCAGCCUCCCGCAUGUCUUUGGGGGCCCUUGGCAGAGCUUAAGGCACUCCGUCAUGGGCAGGGGGAUCCUGCAUGUCCAUGUCUCAGACCCCUCUUCUUCAGGCUGUCGGCUCUCCCUGUUGCAACGUGCUCGUGUUUGGUUGUGGUGCGGUGCCUCAAGUUCCCCUUUUGCAUGAUCCCUGGAUCGGCAGCCGGGCCUGGCAGCCCCAGGAGCAGAUUGGAGGUGCUGGCCCUGCUUGGGCGAGACCCUUGGUCCCCAGAGGUACAGAGGCAUCACCCUGACCAGAGCCUACAUCUUCCCUCCGUGUGUCUCAGGGUUUUCCAUGGUACGUCCCCAGCUGCAGGUCCCUCGGGGGUGCUUUGGUGGGAGUAGGCUUUGUUCUGGAUCUGCUCCGUGGCUGUGUCCCGGGGUAAGACCGAGCAAAAAAGCUCCAAGUGCGCUGCCCGGAUGGAGAGAAAGGCCCUCGGGGCUCUGCAUGAGGUGAUCAAGGCAGAUCUGUUUCCAAAGUGUUACUUGGCUGGGGUUUGCAGGGACAGUCCCUGCCCUGGUGGUGCAUCCCUCUGCCCAAGUGGCAAUUCCUUGUGCCCAAUGGUCCCUCGGCCGCCCGCCCUCCUGCUUGCAUGUUACCUGGGAAGGCAGCUGCACCCUCCUGAAGUGUCAGCCUUCUUCCAGCAAGGACUGACUCAGCCCCAGGUGCUUUUUGGAGCCUGCUGCAGGGCUCCCCUGUGUUUAGUGACAGUGUGGGGCACCCCCAGCUUCACACCAGCCCUGCGAGGUCAGCACCAGGGUUGGCAAAUGGGCCCCUGAUGCUCCCAGCUGCAGGACUGGCCUCGGGGCCACGCCAGGGCAGGGGCCCA
ensembl:lncRNA